ACUACCUUAAACAUGACAUGGUAACAACAUCCACCCUUCUGUUAUAAUAAUAAGAAAUUUUAUUUUUAGGCACUUCAAACCACUUACAAAUUUUGCACGCAGAUUUUCCUACCUUCAAAUAUUCCCAAGAACCACUGGUUCCUGGCUGUUGUCAACUCCCAAAAGAGGGAGAUUCAAAUUCUGGACUCACUCCAAUCACGCAACAACCGGAAAGAAGUAAUUGCUGCGCUUCUUGGAAUGGAAACACAUAUUGAUAUAGCAGUGAUGGAAAAUGGAAUGCAAGGAAGUAGAUGGCCGGACACUCAAGUGGCUUCGUGGCCUAUCAAAGACUAUGAAGUGCCACAGCAAACAGAUGGCUGUUCCUGUGCUCUCUGGGUGUUGAAAUUCAUCCAAUAUUGGACCGGAGUGAGAUUGUCGGCAAUAUUCAACCAGGAUGACAUAAGACAGUUCAGAAGAUGGCUUGCUGCUGCCUUGAUCAAUUCACCUCACAAUGAGUUGAAAGUUCGGAAGGCCAUACCAGCAGUUGAUUUAGAAGAUGAUUUAGAAGACCUCGACCUCGGAGGUGACGACGGACACAACGACAGCGGAGAUGUCUCAGGAGACGAUGGUUCCGCACUAUAGUUGUGUGCUGCUGGACUUAGGGUAGAGUUAAUAGGAUUGGGCGUGGUGUGGUUUUUGCCCCGUAGACGGUUUCCACACCGUUUUCAAUUUUAUUACUUUAUCUAUACAGCGGAGAUGUAUCAAACAAUUUUUUUGGUUGUGCUACUUCAUAUAUACGGCAAAUUGCCGUACAUUUACUACUUUUAUCUGCAUUGAAUAUCUACAUUAAUUUUUAAUUAAAGUCUUUCAUGCACAAAAUCUUGUAUUCUUUGUUUAAUGAUGCAAUUCCCUUUGGUUUAUAGGAUGUGCUUCAAAAACCAAAUUUCUAAGUGGCUUUACACUACCGGUCGCAAUUUCCUUGCUACUUGUGUCCUUGGAAGCAACACAUCCUUUUUAAACCUGGGGUUUCAGUUCUGUAUUAUGCCAAUGAACGAUAGGCAAAUGCUGUCCUGUUUGCUUACCCCGUUACAAAAUGUCAAAGGAUGAGCCAACUUGGCCACCAACUUGGGAACUAGCCA